rnacentral:rRNA from 1 species
GACGGAGGAUGCAAGCGUUAUCCGGAAUGAUUGGGCGUAAAGCGUCCGCAGGUGGCAGUUCAAGUCUGCUGUCAAAGACCGGGGCUUAACUUCGGAAAGGCAGUGGAAACUGAACAGCUAGAGUAUGGUAGGGGCAGAGGGAAUUCCUGGUGUAGCGGUGAAAUGCGUAGAGAUCAGGAAGAACAUCGGUGGCGAAGGCGCUCUGCUGGACCAUAACUGACACUCAGGGACGAAAGCGUGGGGAGCAAACAGG